CUGCCAGUAUGGUUAGAUGAGGGCUCUCUUCCAGGUCCAGGACCUCACCAGGUCUUUUAUCCAAAUUCCUCAACUCCUAAUACCAACAUAUUGGGAAAUGGAUUUAAACACAUGGAUCUCAGAGUAAAACAUGCAAACCAUAGCAGGCAGAGAUGAUAUUCCCCAAUGCUGAAAAUAUUUACUACCUGAAUCUUUAGAGAAAAUGUCUGCUGUUACCUCUUCUAGAGCAUCAGAAGAUGUUCCCAAGAUGCAUUAUGCCAAGAGUCAUGCCAUGCUGCAUGCUCUACUGAUAGCUGAUUCAUCUGUGUUACAUCUUCUAAGACUACUAUUAGUUGUGUUUUCAGCUUCUUUUUAUAUUUCCUUUAGUCUAGGUCAGAGUGAUUUGUGCAUCGUGUUUCUUCUCUUCUUUCUGCUGUCAUCUUGUGUCUUAGUGGCAUACUUAUGAGGAUGGAUGCUAUUAUUAAUCUCACUUGCUUACAUUGUAUGGAGCCAUUAUAAUCUCAAUGGAAGAAAGAGAACAGAAUGAUUCAAUUAUAAAGACUUUAGUGGAUGAAGCUCAUGCAUCAUGCUGUUUCUUUAUCUAUUUUUAUUUUAACAUUUUACUUUUGAAAAAACUAUAAAAAGUUAAUAAAAUUUAAUUUUUUU